AUUGAACGCUGGCGGCAGGCCUAACACAUGCACGUCGAGCGAGAGGCGGACGGGUGAGUAAUGUCUGGGCAACUGCCUGAUGGAGGGGGAUAACUACUGGCAACGGUAUCUACUACAACAUACCAUCAGAUGUGCCCAGAUGGGAUUAGGUAGUAGGUGGGGUAAAGGCUAACCUAGGCGACGAUCCCUAGCUGGUCUGAGAGGAUGACCAGCCACACUGGAACUGAGACACGGUCCAGACUCCUAAGUGAGGCAGCAGUGGGGAAGAUUGGACAAUGGGCGCAAGCCUGAUGCAGCGAUGCCGAGUGUGUGAAGAAGGCCUUCGGGUUGUAAAGCACUUUCAGCGAGGAGGCGUUACUCGCAGAAGAAGCACCGGCUAACUCCGUGCCAGCAGCCGCGGUAAUUC
rnacentral:rRNA from 1 species